rnacentral:misc_RNA from 1 species
CUCUACUUCUCCCUUUCUCUCUUUCCAUUUGUCUCUGAUAGACGAACAGUGGAUCAAUCUGGUGUUGCUCGUGACAGGUCGUCGUCGAGUGUGCCGAGCACUGUUGAUUGCGAGCGAUGCGACAGCAUUGGCGGCGUCGUUCAGAUGAGUAAGCGCCUUCAUUAGCGGAGGGUAUAUAUAUCGCUGACGAUUGUGGCUUCCUCUAGGAUAAUUACGAUCGGCCCCGAGCGCGCGCGAGCGCAACUGGUACACAGAGAGUACAAAGAGAAGAAGAAGAAGAAGAGGAGGCGGAGGAAGAAGAAGAAGAAGAGCAAGAGAGAGACGGUCGGCGCGAGACGUCAGGUCGAACGGCUGAUCACACACGAGAGUUUACAAAGCGCGAUAUCGCGUCGAUGUCGAGUUGUUCGCGAGCCUCCGCGAUAUUUCCGUCGUUCAUUACCAAAUACCACAACGUGCGCCUUACUGAUGCAAGAGGAGGAGGAAGAAGAUGAAUAAGCAAGCCUAACUUGGGAUCAACGGAUUAACGAGAUCAUACCCACAGACACUCGCGCGCGCACGCAUAUACACACACACGUACGCGCACGUAGUCACACGCAUACACGCACACAUAGAUACACACAAGCACAAACACAGAUACACAACGCAGUUUUGUAACGCGAGGAUCGCAAGCCGUCGGUGAUACUUGUUCGCACGCGAGCACGCGGCCGCACGCGCGCAUCGGCGAGAUGCGCGAUUUCCUACAAAACUGCGGCGUCUGAAAGGUCGUGAUCGAUCGACUCAAUUUGAUAAUCUAAAAGAACCUCCAGCAUAUACAAGGUCGUUAUGUAUAAGCGAUAAGGCAGGAGCUCUGUCUACGGCUGAAAAGUGAAGGAGGAGGUGACUGGAGAGGUGCUCUCUUUCUCUCUCUCUCUCUCUCUCUCUCUCUCUCUCUCUCGGGCAGCUGGUACGUGGCCUAUCUAUCGCGACGUGAUUUACAAGGACCUACUUUUGAGGAAGCAUCGAACUCGUGGAGACUCGCGGAUAUAGCGGCUUAGUCAAGCUCGCCGAUCUGCUCUCGCGUAAUGUCGAGCUCGGCACACCACGAAGAGGCGUGCUCGGUGCUCGACGGCGGAGCGCGCUGUAUCGAUCGCGAGAUCGUCGCCCGCGUUCUUCGAGUUUCCAGGAGGAAGCUCACGACAAUAGAACGCCCGUCGGCCAAACGCUCACGGAGAAUCGUCCAUUGAAUGCUCGUCGGGCCGCGCUACGUGCUACCUUCGCAAAGCGUCGUGGCGAAUCACGUCUCUAGUUUUGUACGUCGAGGAACCCGUGAGAAGGUUCAAUGAGACCUUCGUCGGCCUAUACGACGCCAGGCAGCCAGGCAGCCAGCCAGCCGGCCAGAUCGCCGCACGUCGUACCAGCACAUUCGGAAACAUCGAGCUAAUAAACACGGCCUCGCUCAAUGCCUCCUGGUGAAGAAGGCAAUCGCGAUCGCGUACACUUGACCCCUGCUCAACUGCCGGACGACUCGUCGUGGCCGUGGCGAACGAUGCUCGACAGUUGAUCCCGGUUGACGCAAGCAACGUCCAACGCCAGAGUUCCAGCACCACGCGCUCUACGAGAAAGCGAUGAUCGGCUGCCUGUAGAUCGGCGCGCUCGAUGAGUCGUCGUAGAAUCGAGCGUCGAGCAGCAGCCAGCACCGCCCGCCGGGGUAGCCGAAGAGGAAGCUUCGCAUCGCGUCGUCCCCUUCUCGAGAGCCGUCUUGGGUGAUGCGCGGAAGCAGCUCCGAACUCCUGCUGGAGCCGGGCUGCAGCCAGUGCCAGUGCGACCACGAUCGGCAUCAGCGUCGAGACAGCGGCAGCGGCGGCGGCGGCGGCGGCGGCGGCGGCGGCGGCGGCGACGGCGGCGGACACGACUUCCACGAGCGGGAGCUACGUCGUCGCAAGCUGUUGGAGCUCGGGUUCGGCGCGUCGCGGCGCCGACCGCCACGGCGUACCUGCCGUCAGCGGUUUAAUUUCUACGCCACGUCAGCGCUGGCCUUCGUCGCGACCUCCGGCGGCGCGGCGCUCCUCUUCCUGGUGCCGCUCUACGUCGACCCGGCCAUCAGCACCUUGGCGGCGGACUUCUCGCCGGAGCCGGUCAUCUGCACCACCUCCCGCCGCGAGGAGCUCGCCGGUCUCUUCAACUGCACAUGGAGCUCGUGUCGCGAGGGCUGCACCAGUGACGUGUACAGGUGCACCCAUAUAUACGUCACCUAUACGCCGUGGAGUAACGCCAGCAUGAGGAACGAGACCGGCGGCAAGAACGCCACUGCGAACGCCACUGCGAACGCCACCGCCGCUCCGGCCACUGUCACUGCCGUGUCCUCCCCGGGGGACGUCGAGGCGGUGCUCCUGGUGAACAUCAAGGGCUGCGGAUACCCGCCGGUAGUCGAUUGCGAGAACUUCACCCGCGAGUUGGGUUACGAGGGCGCGAAGUUUCCCUGCCAUUACAGCCGGAUGAACGGUAGCAUAGUGAUGGCGAACUAUAAUCGCGAGGCACAGGUCGCUACCAUCAUGCACUUCUUCGCGGCUCCUUUCGUAGUGACUCUCGCGACCAGCGUCGCGCUGUGUGUGAUGCACUGUGACUGCAGAUGCACGCCGCCGCCGCGACACCCGCCACGCGGCAUAAGAAGAUCCAGGGGCAACGAUCUCAGCUGCUGCAUGAGUAUAAAAAAUCGAUAACGGGUUAGAAGCGUGCCAGAAGUCGUCCGUUUUAGAAGGUGUAUUUGACGAGGCAAAUAAACUUUCUAAACCAUACUUAACGAGACGAAGCGACUUAACAAAGAGAGAUGUGUUACUACCAGCGUACUUACACUGUCGUCGUGAUACGGUGCUAAACACUUUUGGCUGCGAAUACUGCCUUAGAAGAAGAGAGAGAGCGAAUCGCAGAAACGGAAAUCGGAUAUCGAUUCAUCAUACUCUAAUCUCCGCUAAUUAGCUCCAAGUGGCGCACCACGUCUCAUUAACGAAACGAGUGUGCGCCGCCGAAAGCCGUGACUGCGGCCUCCGUGCAACGCAAUGUGAACACGUAAAAAGAGAUCUCUCUAGUCUUAUCGAUCGGACGCCGUAAGUAAUUCCGUGAACUCGGAACAAUAUCGACAGCAGCUCUCUCGCAUGGACGUUUUGCGCGGACGUUGCGUGAACACACGCGGAGAGCAGCCGCGUGUGACUCGCGUAAUCGACACCCAUACACACACACACACAUGUCUCUCCUUCUUCCA